rnacentral:lncRNA from 1 species
CAUGAUUCUGAGGCCUCCCCAGCCCUGUGAAACUUCUCUCUCUCACUUUCUUUUUCUCCAUCUCUCAUUCUGGAACCCUGAGCAACUAUGUAAGAAGUCUGGCUGCCAUGAUGCCACCAUGCUGGAGGGACCACAUGGACAUACCAUGAAGAUAUAUAGAGAAAUGCUUUAGAAACCUCAGCUGUUCCGUCUUUCAGCUAUUUGAGUCUUCCUAGGCCAAGGGCCAGAUAUAUAAACAAAGAAGACUUGAUGGUGACUCCAGCCUUAGUCAACGUCUAACUGCAACCACGUGAGAGACUUUCAACCAGAACUAUGCAGUGGAGCUGCUUCUGAACUCCUGACCCAUAGAAACCAUGAAUGAUAAUAAAUGAUUGCUGUUUUCCUUAAAUGUUUGGUCGCAUUUCUCAGUGAAAUCAUCUGUGCCUAGAAUUUUCUUUCUAGAAAAGUUUCAAACUCCAAAUUCAAUUCUUAAUUGAAUUUUAUAUCUGUAUAUCUAUAGACAUAUACAAAUAUCUGUAUAUCAACAAGAUAAUUCGGAUAAUUCAGGUUAUCUGCUUCUUUUAGAAUAUGCAUUGGGAGUUUGUGUUUGUUAAGGAAUGUGUCUGGUUCAUUCAAAUUGUCGAAUUUAUAGGCAUAAGUUUCUUCUCAAUAUUUCUUCACUAGUCUCUAGAUAUCUACAAGAUCUGUAGUGAUGUUAUUACUCUCAUUCCUGAUACUAGUAAUUUGUGUCUUCUCUUUUCUCUUGGUAGCUCUGGCUGGUGGUUUAUUAAUUUUACUGAUCUUUUCAAAGAAUCCAGAUUUUGAUGUUAAUGCUUUUUUUCUACUAUUGUUUGUUUUCUUUUUCAUUGAUGUCUGUUCUUGUCUUUAUUACUUCCUUUUUUGGCUUUCUUUGGGUUUAGUUUUUUUAUUUUUACUGUUUCUUAAGGUGGAAACAGAUAAUCAAUCUGAGAUAUUUCUUCCUUUCUAAUGUGAGCAUUCAAUGCUACAGUUUAUCUUCUAAGCACUGCUUUAACUGCCUCCUACAUAUUUUGAUAUGCUAUGUUUUUAUAUUUAUUUACUUCAAAAUAUUUACUAACUUCCCUUUUGACUUCCUUUUCAACAUAGGGGAUAUUAAGAAAUGUGCAUUAUGACCAGCAGUAUCUGAGAGUUCCUGUUGCUUUGCAUCAGCGUUAGCCAUACUAAGCAUUAACACUUGGUAUUGUAUUUUUUUCUCAGCCAUUCUAAUAGUUGUCCAGUGGCAUCUCAAUAUGAUUUUAGUUACAUUUCCUAAGGGAUUAAUGUGAUGGCUAAUUUUAUGUAUCAGCUUCACUAGGCUAUAGUACCCAGUUACUUGAUCAAACAAUAAUCUUACCAUAUGACCCAGCCAUGCCACAUCUUCGUGUUUAUUCUAGAGAAAUACCAACUCCUCUUUCCUAGUUACUCUUUAUUUCCUUACUUUCUUAAUUUUUUCAAAAUAUUUUUUAUUGUUAAUUUAACUAUAUUAGUUAUUUACUUAUUUACUUUUUCUGAUGAUGACAUAUACCAUUUAGAAACUUCUGCUUGUCCAUGGCCCUACCUGUAGCAUCCAGAGGAGUGCAGAGCACAUAGUGGAUGUGGCAUGAAAUGUAUUGCUUUAUAGAUGAACAAUAACAAUGGACAUUGUUUGGGAAGAGAUAAGGACUAAGAGUAUGUAGGAUGACUAGGACAAGAACAAAUGGCAUGUGAUGGUAAAUGCAGAAUGUCUUUGUCUUUACAAAAGUGCAAUAUUGUCUAUACUUAGACGAAGAUGCUGGGAUGGAGAGUGGGGGCUGCCCGGACAGAGCUACAAUCAGGGAAUUCAAGGCCUGCCACUGUCAGUGACUUACAUUGUUUCCUUGGAGUUUUUCACAAAUAAAUUCAAGUUUAUGUUAUUAUUUAAAAAAUCCCAAGGCAUACAAGUAUUUUUGGAUAAAAUAAAUAUAUCUGUGAAUCUAUUGAGAAUAAAGGUAGCAUGUUAAAACUCCCA